AGACGAGCAAUGAUUGAUAUUGACCUUACAAUUAUGCCAAGUGCCGUGUGGAUCAGAUACACCAGGUGCCAAGAUGUUCUUGAUCUGCCAAAAACGUACAAUACAUUCAUCGGAAAAUUAAUCAAUAAUACACUCGAUCAUAUCGAUCAAGCAAAUUUAUAAGAAAACGUUUUCGAUUUUUUUCCACCUGCCAUGAAUCAUAAGCAGCAUUCAGUAAGAAAAGAGGAGUUCGAAUUUCCGACACUACGUUCUCCGGGAAGAAACACUUCAUGCAUGUCAAAUGAAUCAGCGUACAAAUCUCUAUAUUAAUCAUAGAUUAAUUAAAUUUAAUUUAAUCACCAAAUGCAAUUACCAAUCCAGAAUUCAUUUUCGAUGUGCAGGAUCUUGGCAGAUUCUUCGCGGAUUGCUGUAAUCAUUCAUCAUCAUGCAUGUAAAUAUGUAAUUAUCCAUCGUUUCCAAAUUAAACACAAACAUAAUUAUCUCAUUUUUCAUGCACGUACAUGUGUUCCGACGACUCGCCGGUAGAAAUUUUCGAUGUUUUUUGUUCCGUCGAUGGAUUUCCUGUUAAUAAAUACAGUAGUUAAUAAAAUUAUAUGUAUAUAUGCAACAGCAUGAAUCAAAAAAUUACGUAUUGAUGAAGUAGCCGGCAUCUGCCAAGCAUUUAACGUUGGUUCUUCCGGGCAUAAUAUCACGGAAGUGAUCGCAUUGCAGUAUAGCAGCUAAACCUC
rnacentral:lncRNA from 1 species